ACCAAACGCACGUGAGACGCGGAGAGGAGGGUAGACGGGACACCCAACAGACACAACCGCGGGGGAGGAAGGUAGACGGGACACCUAAUAGACACACAACCGCGGGGGGAGGAAGGUAGACGGGACACCUAAUAGACACACAACCGCGGGGGAGGACGGUAGACGGGACACCCAACAGACACACAACCGCGGGGGGAGGAAGGUAGACGGGACACCCAACAGACACAACCGCGGGGGAGGACGGUAGACGGGACACCCAACAGACACACAACCGCGGGGGGAGGACGGUAGACGGGACACCUAACAGACACACAACCGCGAGGGGAGGACGGUAGACGGGGUAUUUGAACAGACACACAACCGCGGGGGAGGACGGUAGACGGGACACCCAACAGACACACAACCGCGGGGGGAGGACGGUAGACGGGGUAUUUGAACAGACACACAACCGCGGGGGGACGAAGGUAGACGGGGUAUUUGAACAGACGGGAAACCAAGCGGCGUCUGGGAGGAAGAGGGAAGAGCAGUUUCCGGUGUAAUGGCAGCCGGCGGAGGCGCCGGGAGCGCGCUGUUCUCGGGCUACCGAGCGCUCGGACUCUACUCCAACCACUUGCCGCACGCGCUCCGCUACCACGAGAAGCACCGUGAGUUUUACGUCACCACGGCGGUGGGGAACCGCUUCCAUACGUACAACGUCGGCAAGCUGGGUAUCACUGCUGUCAGUAACAGCCUGGCUGAGGACAUUUCCUGUCUGGCAGCUGACCGCAUGUUGGUGUUCGCUGCAGCGGGACAAGAGAUCUCUGCCUUCGCCCGCAACAAAGAGGUUGUGCACGUGUACCGUGGACACACGGCGGAGGUUCGAUUCCUCCUCCCCCUGGGAAAUCACCUGAUCUCUGCUGCAGUUGAUGGCACCCUCAUCGUCUGGGACGUGGAAGCAGAAGAGGACUAUCUGCGGCUGACAUUUGACCAGGUGACCUUUGAACUGUCAGCGAUGUUGCACCCCAGCACCUAUCUGAACAAGGUGCUGCUGGGAAGUACUCAGGGUGUACUGCAGCUGUGGAACAUUAAGACCAAUAAACUGCUGUAUACAUUCUCUGGCUGGUCAGCAGGGGUCACUGUUCUCACACAGAGCCCAGCGGUGGACGUGGUGGGGGUGGGCCUCAGCUCAGGGAAAGUCAUCAUCCACAACAUCCGCCUCGACAAAUCACUGAUGACCUUCACACAAGACUGGGGACCAGUUACAACGCUGGCCUUCCGCACAGACGGUCCUCCCAUCAUGGCUGCCGGCAGCCCUCAGGGCCACAUUGCAUUCUGGGACCUGGAGCGUCAGCAGCUAGCCAGUCAGCAGCGCCAUGCCCACAGUGGGGCUGUUGCGGCGGCGACUUUCCUCCACCAGCAGCCGCUGUUGAUCACCAACGCUUCUGACAACUCCAUCAAGGUUUGGAUAUUUGACCAGUCUGGAGGUGAAGCCCGGCUGCUGCGUAGUCGCCAGGGCCACAGCGCCCCGCCCACCUACAUCCGUCACCAUGGCAACCAUGGCCACGAUAUCCUGAGUGCUGGUCACGACGGGACGCUGCAAUCAUUCUCCUGCAUCCACGAGCGCUUCAACAAGAACCUGGGAAGAGGUUCCAUAAACAAGAAGUUAACCAAGAAAAAAGCUGUACGCUAUGAGGAGCUCCACCUCCCCAACAUCACUGCCUUUGCCACAGAGUGCGCACGUGAGAGUGACUGGGAUGGCAUUGUGGCAUGCCACCGUGGACACCUGGUCGUCACCACCUGGAACUACCAGCGGUGCACCAUGGGAGCCCACCGGCUACAGCCGCCUCGCUCCCAACGCGACAGGGCGCUUGAUGUCUACGCCACGGCAGUGGACAUAACUUCCUGUGGCAACUUUGCAGUGGUGGGUCUGUCGUCUGGCCACGCUGACGUCUAUAACAUCCAGUCGGGCCUCCACCGGGGGCAGUAUGGUGACGACGCAGCCCACCGCGGCGCUGUGCGCGGCGUGGCCGUGGAUGGCCUGAACCAGCUGACUGUCACUAUGGGCUCAGAUCAGCACCUGAGGCUGUGGCGCUUCAAAAGCCGGCAGCCAGUGUACGACCUUGAGCUGAGCGCCCCCCCCGACCGUCUUCGCCUCCACCGCGACAGUGGGAUGUUAGCCAUAGCAAUGGAUGACCUCACACUCAACGUGUUUGACUUGGAGACCCGAAGAGUUGUCCGGAAGUUCUCGGGCCACUGGAGGAAGAUCAAUGACAUGGCAUUCAGUCCUGAUGGUCGCUGGCUUGUUACUGUGGCGAUGGACUGCACAAUUCGCACUUGGGACGUCCCCACUGGAUGCCUGGUGGACUGCUUCCAGGUGGAUAUGGCGGCAGUGGGCUUGUCCUUCUCCCCCACUGGCGAUUUCCUUGCCACUACACAUGUGAACUGCCUGGGGGUCUACCUGUGGUCCAACAAAAGCCUCUGCAACCUGGUGUCACUCCGCCCGCUGCCUGCCAACUAUGAGCCAACGACCUCUGUGCUACCUAGCUCCUGCCCGGGUCAAGACGAGGAGAGACUGGAAGAAGAUACAGGUGCAAAUGUAGAUGAGUACAGCUCCCCAGAGCAGCUGGAUAGCAACUUGAUGACUCUUUCGCUUCUCCCGGAAUCUCGCUGGAAGAAUUUGCUCAACCUCGAAAUCAUCAAGAGACGGAACAAACCCAAGGAGCCUCCCAGAGUACCUGAGACAGCACCGUUUUUCCUUCCCACGGUUGCUGGACUAACUCCUUCUUUUGCCCACCCUGAGACCCCGCUGGCAGAGACUGAGUCAAAGGUGGUGAACUUCGGUGUGCUGGCCCAGAAAUCCAAAUUCUACCAAACACUGGAAUCCAACUCAUUUGAAGAAUCUUGUCGUCUGCUCAGAGAGUUCUCUCCGUCCAUGGUCGACAUCGAGCUCCGUGGCCUGGCCCCAGAGGCGGGUGGUUCCUCUGCCAUCCUAUUGGCCUUCCUCUGCAUGAUUGACAAUAUGCUGACCAACCGCAGGGACUAUGACCUGGCACAGGCCUACCUGGCGCUGUUUCUCAAGGCGCAAUCUGAAAGGGAUUGGAGACUGCAAGGGGGUGACGGGGGAACGUAGCAUCGGAUGGUGGUCUGUCGCAUGACUUUGGAGUUCAGGAAAAGGAAGAGAGGGAAGGCAGAGCCACGAAUCAAAUAGUUGAAGUUGAAGAAGGAAGACUGUUGUGUGGAGUUCAGGCAGGAGCUCCACCUCCGGCAGCUGUCAGCUGACGCUAUCGCUGUCAACGCUUUGCUCCGCCUCUUGGCCCAGUUGGAGGAAGGGUGGGCGGAGCUUCAGACAGCCUUCCACCAAUCCCUGUGUCUGCUGGCAUAUACCAAG